UACAGAGGGGGCAAGCGUUGUUCGGAAUUACUGGGCGUAAAGGGCGCGUAGGCGGCCUUCUAAGUCGAACGUGAAAUCCCCGGGCUCAACCCGGGAACUGCGUCCGAUACUGGAAGGCUUGAAUCCGGGAGAGGGAUGCGGAAUUCCAGGUGUAGCGGUGAAAUGCGUAGAUAUCAGGAGGAACACCUGUGGCGAAAGCGGCGCACUGGACCACAACUGACGCUGAGGCGCGAAAGCUAGGGGAGCAAACAGG
rnacentral:rRNA from 1 species